rnacentral:rRNA from 1 species
GGCAGUAUCCGGAGUACCACGAGACACGUGGAACCUUGUGGGAAGUCGGGGGGACCACCCCCCAAGGCUAAAUACUACUCAGUGACCGAUAGCGCAUAGUACUGUGAAGGAAAGGUGAAAAGGACCCCGGGAGGGGAGUGAAAGAGAACCUGAAACCCUGUGUUUACAAACUGUGGAAGCACUUUAUAUGUGCAACCGCGUACUUUUUGUAGAACGGUCCAGCGAGUUGCGCUGGCUGGCAAGGUUAAGGACCUAAGGUCCGGAGCCGGAGGGAAACCAAGUCUUAAGAGGGCGUCAAGUCAGUCGGAGCAGACCCGAAACCGGGUGAUCUAUCCAUGUCCAGGAUGAAGCUGCCGUAAGAGGUAGUGGAGGUCCGAACGCACAUCCGUUGAAAAGGGUGGCGAUGAGGUGUGGAUAGGGGAGAAAUUCCAAUCGAACCCGGAGAUAGCUGGUUCUCCUCGAAAUAGCUUUAGGGCUAGCCUCGUGUUAAUCUGAUGGAGGUAGAGCACUGAAUUUCCUAGGGGGCGUCAAAGCUUACCGAAGAAUAUCAAACUCCGAAUGCCAUACAGAUGAUGCACGGGAGUCAGACUGCACGAGAUAAGUUGGGCAGUCAAAAGGGAAAGAGCCCAGACCUGCAGCUAAGGUCCCAAAGUGCGUGUUAAGUGGAAAAGGAUGUGGGGAUUCAAAGACAACCAGGAUGUUGGCUCAGAAGCAGCCAUACAUUCAAAGAGUGCGUAAUAGCUCACUGGUCGAGAGUCCCUGCGCCGAAAAUGUCCGGGGCUGAAACACGACACCGAAGCUCAGGAAUCACGUUAGUGAUUGGUAGAGGAGCAUUCCUGACCGGCGAAGCCGUACCGUAAGGAGCGGUGGAGGGACAGGAAGAGAGAAUGCUGGAAUGAGUAGCGAGAACAGGGUGGGAAUCCCUGUGGCCGAAUAUCCAAGGUUUCCGGAGUAAAGCUGAUCUGCUCCGGGUAAGUCGGGGCCUAAGGAGAGGCUGAAAAGCGUAUCCGAUGGACAACAGGUAGAAAUUCCUGUACUGCAGUAAGACAGAACUGUGGGGACACGUGUGGAAAGCACAGGCGCGGAAUGGAAAGCCGCGCGCAAGCAGGGUAGGAGACAUGCAGGAAAAUCCGUAUGUCAAUCCGAAGAUGUGAUGCGGACCGAAUUUAAGUAGGGAAGUGUGUGAGCCAUGCGUCAAGAAAAGCCGCUAUUGUUCUUAUUGUACCCGUACCGUAAACCGACACAGGUGGAUGAGGAGAGAAUCCUAAGGCCGGCGGAAGAAGCAUUGUUAAGGAACUCGGCAAAAUGACCCUGUAACUUCGGGAGAAAGGGUGCCCUCGAAAGAGGGCCGCAGAGAAUAGGCUCAAGCAACUGUUUAGCAAAAACACAGGUCUAUGCAAAACCGUAAGGUGAGGUAUAUGGGCUGACGCCUGCCCGGUGCUGGAAGGUUAAGAGGAGAGGUUAGAGAAAUCGAAGCUUUGAAUUUAAGCCCCAGUAAACGGCGGCCGUAACUAUAACGGUCCUAAGGUAGCGAAAUUCCUUGUCGGGUAAGUUCCGACCCGCACGAAAGGCGUAAUGAUUUGAGCACUGUCUCGACAAUGCAUCCGGUGAAAUUGAAGUACCAGUGAAGAUGCUGGUUACCUGCGCCAGGACGGAAAGACCCCAUGGAGCUUUACUCCAGUUUGGUACUGGGAUCCGGUAUUGCAUGUACAGGAUAGGUGGGAGGCUGAGAAAUGGUGACGCCAGUUGCCAUGGAGCCGGUGUUGGGAUACCACCCUUGCAGUAUUGGGUUUCUAACCAGCCGCCGUGACCCGGCGGUGGGACAAUGCCAGGCGGGGAGUUUGACUGGGGCGGUCGCCUCCGAAAGGGUAUCGGAGGCGCUCAAAGGUUCCCUCAGAAUGGUUGGAAACCAUUCGAAGAGUGCAAAGGCAGAAGGGAGCUUGACUGCGACACCGACGGGUGGAGCAGGUACGAAAGUAGGACUUAGUGAUCCGGUGGUAUUAAGUGGGAAUGCCAUCGCUCAACGGAUAAAAGCUACCCUGGGGAUAACAGGCUUAUCACUCCCAAGAGUUCACAUCGACGGAGUGGUUUGGCACCUCGAUGUCGGCUCAUCGCAUCCUGGGGCUGUAGUAGGUCCCAAGGGUUGGGCUGUUCGCCCAUUAAAGCGGUACGCGAGCUGGGUUCAGAACGUCGUGAGACAGUUCGGUCCCUAUCCGGCGUGGGCGUAAGAUAUUUGAGAGGAGCUGUCCUUAGUACGAGAGGACCGGGAUGGACUGACCUCUGGUGUACCGGUUGCACUGCCAAGUGCAUGGCCGGGUAGCCAAGUCGGGAAGGGAUAAACGCUGAAGGCAUCUAAGCGUGAAGCCCCCCUCAAGAUGAGAUAUCUCAUGCGAAAGCAAUAAGACCCCUUGAAGACGACGAGGUAGAUAGGGCAGAGGUGGAAGUGCAGUAAUGUAUGGAGCUGACUGUCACUAAUAGGUCGAAGGCUUGACC